GAUCAUGGCUCAGAGCGAACGCUGGCGGCAGGCUUAACACAUGCAAGUCGAGCGGGCCCUUCGGGGUCAGCGGCGGACGGGUGAGUAACGCGUGGGAACGUGCCUUCUGGUUCGGAAUAACCCUGGGAAACUAGGGCUAAUACCGGAUACGCCCUUUUGGGGAAAGGUUUACUGCCGGAAGAUCGGCCCGCGUCUGAUUAGCUAGUUGGUGGGGUAACGGCCUACCAAGGCGACGAUCAGUAGCUGGUCUGAGAGG
rnacentral:rRNA from 1 species